UGGCAGCGCAGCGGUAAGCAGGCGGCCACAGAGCGCUCCUUCAACGGACCCACUAUUACCGAAACAGGAUUUAAGUUCACGAAAACCAGAAAGCUUCGCCAGUCCAGCGCUGACCACAGAGAGGAGGAGGACGAAGGAGGAGGACGAAGGAGGACGAAGGAGGCCUAGCCACGGCAGCAGUCGACCGCGGCCCCCCUGGACCAGUGGAGCCCCCCCCCCCAGCCAUAGAAGGAAAGCAAUGGUUUUGGGAGCUGGAGGCCAUAGCAGCAUCGAUAGAGUUUGCGUGGGUGGCAUCCUCUUCCCUUCAGCGAGCCCCCCCCCUGCCCCGGGAUGCCCCCCCGCCGCCCGGCCCUGAGCUCCCCCAGGGAGACAUGAGCAGCUACCGCGACCGGGGGGUCACCUGCACCUCCUCGGACCUCCUGCUGGACGGAGGAGGAGGAGGGGGAAGGGGGCUGCCUCUCUCGGCCUCCCAGCAUGCACUGCUCCGCCCCCUGCCCAACGGACACCCGGGGGACCCGACGGGCGGGCCCCGGCUCUCGGUGCCCAAGAUGGGGGUCCGGGCGCGCAUCGCCGAGUGGCCCCCGCGGCGCUCCCAGUCCCGGGAGUCGCUGCUGGAG
ensembl:lncRNA